rnacentral:rRNA from 1 species
CUCAGGAUGAACGCUAGCUACAGGCUUAACACAUGCAAGUCGAGGGGCAGCAUGGUCUUAGCUUGCUAAGGCCGAUGGCGACCGGCGCACGGGUGAGUAACACGUAUCCAACCUGCCGUCUACUCUUGGACAGCCUUCUGAAAGGAAGAUUAAUACAAGAUGGCAUCAUGAGUCCGCAUGUUCACAUGAUUAAAGGUAUUCCGGUAGACGAUGGGGAUGCGUUCCAUUAGAUAGUAGGCGGGGUAACGGCCCACCUAGUCUUCGAUGGAUAGGGGUUCUGAGAGGAAGGUCCCCCACAUUGGAACUGAGACACGGUCCAAACUCCUACGGGAGGCAGCAGUGAGGAAUAUUGGUCAAUGGGCGAGAGCCUGAACCAGCCAAGUAGCGUGAAGGAUGACUGCCCUAUGGGUUGUAAACUUCUUUUAUAAAGGAAUAAAGUCGGGUAUGGAUACCCGUUUGCAUGUACUUUAUGAAUAAGGAUCGGCUAACUCCGUGCCAGCAGCCGCGGUAAUACGGAGGAUCCGAGCGUUAUCCGGAUUUAUUGGGUUUAAAGGGAGCGUAGAUGGAUGUUUAAGUCAGUUGUGAAAGUUUGCGGCUCAACCGUAAAAUUGCAGUUGAUACUGGAUAUCUUGAGUGCAGUUGAGGCAGGCGGAAUUCGUGGUGUAGCGGUGAAAUGCUUAGAUAUCACGAAGAACUCCGAUUGCGAAGGCAGCCUGCUAAGCUGCAACUGACAUUGAGGCUCGAAAGUGUGGGUAUCAAACAGGAUUAGAUACCCUGGUAGUCCACACGGUAAACGAUGAAUACUCGCUGUUUGCGAUAUACUGCAAGCGGCCAAGCGAAAGCGUUAAGUAUUCCACCUGGGGAGUACGCCGGCAACGGUGAAACUCAAAGGAAUUGACGGGGGCCCGCACAAGCGGAGGAACAUGUGGUUUAAUUCGAUGAUACGCGAGGAACCUUACCCGGGCUUAAAUUGCAGAUGAAUUACGGUGAAAGCCGUAAGCCGCAAGGCAUCUGUGAAGGUGCUGCAUGGUUGUCGUCAGCUCGUGCCGUGAGGUGUCGGCUUAAGUGCCAUAACGAGCGCAACCCUUGAUGUCAGUUACUAACAGGUUCCGCUGAGGACUCUGACAAGACUGCCAUCGUAAGAUGUGAGGAAGGUGGGGAUGACGUCAAAUCAGCACGGCCCUUACGUCCGGGGCUACACACGUGUUACAAUGGGGGGUACAGAGGGCCGCUACCACGCGAGUGGAUGCCAAUCCCCAAAACCUCUCUCAGUUCGGACUGGAGUCUGCAACCCGACUCCACGAAGCUGGAUUCGCUAGUAAUCGCGCAUCAGCCACGGCGCGGUGAAUACGUUCCCGGGCCUUGUACACACCGCCCGUCAAGCCAUGGGAGCCGGGGGUACCUGAAGUGCGUAACCGCGAGGAGCGCCCUAGGGUA